rnacentral:rRNA from 1 species
UAGGGGGGAAUGGCUCAGUAAGCGGCGAGUGAAGCGGCAAGAGCUCAGAUUUGAAAUCUCACCUAGUGUGCGAGUUGUAAAUUGCAGGUUGGAGUCUCGGGUUAGACGUGUGUGCAAGUCCCUUGGAACAGGGUGCCACUGAGGGUGAGAGCCCCGUAGCGUGCAUGUCGACACCUGUGAGGCCCUUCUGACGAGUCGAGUUGUUUGGGAAUGCAGCUCUAAGUGGGUGGUAAAUUCCAUCUAAGGCUAAAUAUUGGCGAGAGACCGAUAGCGAACAAGUACUGUGAAGGAAAGAUGAAAAGCACUUUGAAAAGAGAGUGAAACAGCACGUGAAAUUGUUGAAAGGGAAGGGUAUUGGGCUCGACAUGGGAUUUACGCAUCGUUGCCUCUCGUGGGCGGCGCUCUGGGUUUUUCCUGGGCCAGCAUCGGUUUUCGUUGCAGGAUAAGGACAAUUGGAAUGUGGCUCCUCGGAGUGUUAUAGCCUUUUGUAGAUGCUGCGUAUGGGGACCGAGGGCUGCGGCGGACUCGUUUCGUCUCGGAUGCUGGCACAACGGCGCAAUACCGCCCGUCUUGAAACAACGGACCCAUA